rnacentral:rRNA from 1 species
AGUGAACGCUGGCGGUAGGCCUAACACAUGCAAGUCGAACGGCAGCACAGUAAGAGCUUGCUCUUACGGGUGGCGAGUGGCGGACGGGUGAGGAAUACAUCGGAAUCUACUUUUUCGUGGGGGAUAACGUAGGGAAACUUACGCUAAUACCGCAUACGACCUACGGGGGAAAUCAGGGGAUCUUCGGCCCUUGGGCGAUUGAAUGAGCCGAUGUCGGGUUAGCUAGUUGGCGGGGUAAAGGCCCACCAAGGCGACGAUCCGUAGCUGGUCUGAGAGGAUGAUCAGCCACACUGGAACUGAGACACGGUCCAGACUCCUACGGGAGGCAGCAGUGGGGAAUAUUGGACAAUGGGCGCAAGCCUGAUCCAGCCAUACCGCGUGGGUGAAGAAGGCCUUCGGGUUGUAAAGCCCUUUUGUUGGGAAAGAAAAGCAGCAGGUUAAUACCCCGCUGUUCUGACGGUACCCAAAGAAUAAGCACCGGCUAACUUCGUG